AUAUCAGCCUUUCCAAAGAAGAUGGUCUCACCGACGCGGUGCACGAUAAAGACAAUACCUUUUACGUCCUUACUAAGUUCGGAAUUGUCUACAAGGUCGACCUGCCAACAGGCACAUAUCCCGUUAUCCACCAGUUGUGUACGACCAAAAAGAACCUUCCAUUUCCCAAAGGUAUAUGGGCAAUGUUUGAGAAGAAGAAGCCGGUGUGUUGUGAUGGUAACCCGUACCAAGUGUGCAAAAGUACGAGCGACUUUCCUGGGGUAUCACGCAAACCUAGAAAAAAGGGUGAUAUAUUGGUUAUUAGGCACUAUCGUGAUCGCGCAAUCAACUUUGACGUGGUCACCGAGAUACAGGGCCAUUCACUGUUUAUCGGGGAUAAACAUGCCUUAUCAAUGGAUAUUCAUGGUGUUCCAAGACUGAAAAAAGACUCUGUGUACUAGAUCAAGGAUGGGGAGGAUGGGGAAGAGUUAGUGGUCUUUGACAUGGAAAGUGAGAAGUCUACACUUGUUCCUAUGCGUAAUAUUGGUCCUGGAACUCUGGAAGACACAAUUUCCUGGUACUUUCUGGACAACAGGAGUUGAACAUACUGGUUGAAUUGUUUGUUUUGGCAGGCUAGACAGAUACAUACAAAUGUAUCUCCGGUGCCUGAGUUUCUCCGGUGGCUGUCGUCGUGGCUGCAUUGGGAGACCACUUAUCUUAUGAGACUUGAUAUGUCUUAUAUAACCUGAUCAGUCUUAUGUCACUAGACACUUAUCUUAUGUCACUAGACACUUAUCUUAUCAGACAUGAUAUUGUUAUGUAAUAUGAUAUGUUCUUAUUUUGGAUGUGUUGAUAAGCUAGUGUUAGGCACCUUGGUAAAUUAGAUUUAACUAGCCAUUCGAUCAUGCCUUCAAGUCAAUCUUGUCUACGGUCGUAUAAAAUGUCAACCCCACCGUGAAAACCUAGCUGCCUCCCCACACGCCCCAAUCCCCUCGCCUUGCAGCCGCCACCCAAUCCCCACUCCCCUCGUCUCCCCCAAUCCGUCCACGUCCACGUCCUGCCUCCCGCUCCGCACUGCCUCCUCCAAUCCCGUUGCGCCGCCUCACCCUCCAACGUCCUCCUCCACGUGCUCUGCUUCCAGCGGCCGCCUCAUGGGGCGAGAAGAAACGGGACUUCGUGGGGCGAGCGUUGACGUGCUGGAGAAGCCGAGAGAAGCUGCAGAGGCGGAGGCGGGCGUGGUCGUCGGCGUGGCUCCAACCGCAGGUUGAUCAACCAAUAGUGGGAGGGGAACGACGAAUCAACCAUAGAACUGGCGGUUGAUGUUACAGUAAUAAGACGAUUGCUGUUCUCUCUGGCUUGCUGCUGAUUCUUGCAUUUUUGACAAGGGUCUGAGUGAGAAAAGUCACAAGAAGAAGAUCUGUAGGAGCAUGGCAACCAUGACCAAAAGGAUGAUUUUGAUGCACACGUAUUUGAUGAAAUGCAGAUUGCUAUCUAGGUGUCCAGAUUCAGGAAGGAGAAUGAUUCAAGCUUGAUCAGUUACCAGAAGGUCUACGUCUUACCAGAUUUAGAGUCCUCAAAAUGUGAUGUAUUCAUUCGAUGAAAGAUAAAAGGAUGAGGGAUUACUGGUUGACUGGGAUGUAUUUCUUCUGGAUACACAGGUCACCUGCACUCAAGCCAGAGUGUAUUGGUAACAUUUUCAUGGUAUUUCUACUUAAAGAUUGUUCCAAUUGGUUUUAGUUCUUAAGCGCUUGGACUGAGAGAAAUGGCCAACGAGAUGGGCAACAACAACGUUAUUGGUCAGCAAGAGGAUGUCGUGAGCCACUGGUGAUUUCCAAUAUACAGCAAUUCUAAACCCCAGCUGAAUAUCUUAUUCACUUGAUUUAUUAGUUUCCAGGAUGACCGGCCAUAGCUCACAUUUGGUAUCAUAUGGUGUGCACCUUCCCAGAUGAAUCAUAGGAUAUGCUCUUUCUUAUCACUUAUCAACACCAUUUUAUGAUGAGUUUCUCUAGGAUUGUUGCUUCCUAUUUCUGACCUAGAGGGGAAAUAAGCUUCAGUAUUGCGCAACAUAAAAAGCUCAGAGCCUUAGUUGUGGACGCUGCAAAUUGUAGUAAAGUACUACUUGGCAAUCUAUUUUGUACAGAAAGGCAAUGAAGUUAUGAGUUCAUGAGUAUGCAAGAUCCAAAAUUCUUCAGAUUUUAGGGAUUGUAAAUUCUCGACGUACCAAGAACAGUAGCAGGGAGUGACAUAGGUUGCUAAAAAAAAUGUCGUGCCUUGCAAUUCCUGAAUAUUAGAGGUUUACAAGAGAAUCUAUUGGUACAUGCGGCCAUUCUUGCGGAUACAGAUUGAAGAACUUUAUAAUAUAUAGCUUGGAUUGGAGGAACAUUGUAUGUAAGAAGUACAUGCGGCCUUUGAUUCACCAUUUUCCCUAAGCUAAACCAAAUUGAGGGAGAUCUGAGGGGAAGAAAAAAGAUGCACCUGAUUUUGAUGCUGACCUGAUACAACAGCACGCCGGCGAGGUCGAAAGCCCUCAACCAUUGUCGCCAACGACCUAGUCUUGCUGCGGUCAAGGCGCUAUGUGAUGCAGGGAGGGCGGUUGAGCACUCAGCAACAUCAAUUUGUGAAGAGAUGUGAAGAAUCAGGAGAUGUCUGACCAUCGACGGAUGGAAGCUAAUAAGAGGGGAAGUAAGACAUGAGCCAGACAGAGCCAAAAUGGCUACAGAGGCAGUGAGAUAAGUGUGUGUGCUGUGCGUGUGACCCUGUGUCACCUGUGUGUGCGUCGGUGGUCUGAGCAGGGCCCAAUGGUGUAUUUCAUAAAACAGUUGUGAGGUCCUGAUUGUGUCAUGUUUAUUUGUGCACAUGAUAUUCUUUAUUUGUUCAUUCAGUGCACUUCUUUUUUACCGAGACA